AAGCAAAAAUAGCUAAGCAUUUGUAAAAAUGCGGCGCAAAGCCAUGGACCCAUUCAGGGCCGCCAGGCUGCCAGA
rnacentral:ncRNA from 1 species